rnacentral:rRNA from 1 species
UGGGGAAUAUUGCACAAUGGGCGCAAGCCUGAUGCAGCCAUGCCGCGUGUAUGAAGAAGGCCUUCGGGUUGUAAAGUAUUUUCAGUGGGGAGGAAGGGAGUAAAGCUAAUACCUUUGCUCAUUGACGUUACCUGCAGAAGAAGCACCGGCUAACUCCGUGCCAGCAGCCGCGGUAAUACGGAGGGUGCAAGCGUUAAUCGGAAUUACUGGGCGUAAAGCGCACGCAGGCGGUUUGUUAAGUCAGAUGUGAAAUCCCCGGGCUCAACCUGGGAACUGCAUCUGAUACUGGCAAGCUUGAGUCUCGUAGAGGGGGGUAGAAUUCCAGGUGGAGCGGUGGAAUGCGUAGAGAUCUGGAGGAAUACCGGUGGCGAAGGCGGCCCCCUGGACAAAGACUGACGCUCAGGUGCGAAAGCGUGGGGAGCAAACAGG